GACGAACGCUGGCGGCGUGCUUAACACAUGCAAGUCGAACGAUGAAGCCUUUCGGGGUGGAUUAGUGGCGAACGGGUGAGUAACACGUGGGCAAUCUGCCCUGUACUUUGGGAUAAGCCUUGGAAACGAGGUCUAAUACCGGAUAUGAUGAGUCCUCGCAUGGGGGUUUGUUGAAAGUCCCGGCGGUACAGGAUGAGCCCGCGGCCUAUCAGCUUGUUGGUGGGGUAAGUGGCCUACCAAGGCGACGACGGGUAGCCGGCCUGAGAGGGCGACCGGCCACACUGGGACUGAGACACGGCCCAGACUCCUACGGGAGGCAGCAGUGGGGAAUAUUGCACAAUGGGCGAAAGCCUGAUGCAGCGACGCCGCGUGAGGGAUGACGGCCU
rnacentral:rRNA from 1 species